CCACCUUCCUGUUGCAAUGCAUGAUGGGCAGGCUCAAUAUUGUGCAUGACACCCGCUACAAGUGUUGUUCCCAUGGUGCACGGUGCUACGCCAGCCACUGUGUCCGCAGCAACAACAUCUGCCACAAGUGUUCCCUUCGCUGCAACAGCCACAGCCAACCAGAUACCCAUAAUAUCUGCCGAACAUCUGACUAGCCACAAGUAUGUUACCCAGAUGUAGAAUUUUCAUCACUAAACAAUCAUGCUAAAGAGGAAAGGACAGUGUGCUUGGUUAGAGUAAAGGACGAGGUCAUUAGCCAUAUUGUAUAUAUCGUCAAGCAACACACACAAAAGUUCCUCAGCCACAAGACAUCCACAUAUUGCAUGUUAACCAGAAGAAAAGACAACAUUUUCCGGAAAUCCACUGCACACUGUUGCCUAUACACUUUGUACAUUUAAUUGAUAUUUGUGCUGAGGUGAUAUUCCUGUCUAAAAGAACAACAUUGUCUUUCUUUUCUAGCACAGAGUUAUGCAUUCAAAGAUGCAUACCUAAUUAGUUUCCUAUAUAUUAAUGCCAUCUUGAAAAGACAGACUAUGGUGUAACCAUGAUUCUAUUAUGUAUUGGUACGUCUGUAGACCAAGAUAUAAUUUUUUAAAAAUAAGUUUAUUUCUUUCAAGGUUUACAAAUAACAAAGGUGCACCUUGUGUUUAAAAUUGCCAUUAUAGAUGAGAGCGUGCAUGCACAGUCAUUUUUGUUUAAGAGUAAUAUUUUUAAUGUAAUAGAUUGUAAGACGUGGUGAGGGAGGGAUCUGACAGAGAUGAAUGUGCCAAGCAAAACCACAACUGUGUAUAUUUUAAAGCACAUCAUGGCUUUAAGUACCAUGUUGUUAAGGAUUCUCAUGAAGUGCCAUAGACUGUACAUCAAAUUAGAGUAUUAUUUCUUCAGUGUUUGUUAUUGUUUUCAGAGCCACAUUUUGUUGCAUAUUUGCUAGUACUAAUCAGUCAAAGGGCACCAUUCUUUUUUUUUUUUUUUUGAAACCAAAGCUGUCUCAGAAAUGGCCAAUUUAACUUUACAGUAACAAUAGACAGCACAACACAAACUCUCUCAAUACAGAUAAACUCACACAUACUGGAGAUAUAUAUAUAAUAGAUAUAUAUA
rnacentral:lncRNA from 1 species